CAGAGAUGGAUUUGUGCCUUCGGGAACCGUGAGACAGGUGCUGCAUGGCUGUCGUCAGCUCGUGUUGUGAAAUGUUGGGUUAAGUCCCGCAACGAGCGCAACCCUUAUCCUUUGUUGCCAGCGGUCCGGCCGGGAACUCAAAGGAGACUGCCAGUGAUAAACUGGAGGAAGGUGGGGAUGACGUCAAGUCAUCAUGGCCCUUACGACCAGGGCUACACACGUGCUACAAUGGCGCAUACAAAGAGAAGCGACCUCGCGAGAGCAAGCGGACCUCAUAAAGUGCGUCGUAGUCCGGAUUGGAGUCUGCAACUCGACUCCAUGAAGUCGGAAUCGCUAGUAAUCGUGGAUCAGAAUGCCACGGUGAAUACGUUCCCGGGCCUUGUACACACCGCCCGUCACACCAUGGGAGUGGGUUGCAAAAGAAGUAGGUAGCUUAACCUUCGGGAGGGCGCUUACCACUUUGUGAUUCAUGACUGGGGUGAAGUCGUAACAAGGUAACCGUAGGGGAACCUGC
rnacentral:rRNA from 2 species